rnacentral:rRNA from 1 species
UCCUACGGGGGAGGCAGCAGUAGGGAAUCUUCCACAAUGGACGCAAGUCUGAUGGAGCAACGCCGCGUGAGUGAAGAAGGUUUUCGGAUCGUAAAGCUCUGUUGUUGGUGAAGAAGGAUAGAGGCAGUAACUGGUCUUUAUUUGACGGUAAUCAACCAGAAAGUCACGGCUAACUACGUGCCAGCAGCCGCGGUAAUACGUAGGUGGCAAGCGUUGUCCGGAUUUAUUGGGCGUAAAGCGAGCGCAGGCGGAAUGAUAAGUCUGAUGUGAAAGCCCACGGCUCAACCGUGGAACUGCAUCGGAAACUGUCAUUCUUGAGUGCAGAAGAGGAGAGUGGAAUUCCAUGUGUAGCGGUGGAAUGCGUAGAUAUAUGGAAGAACACCAGUGGCGAAGGCGGCUCUCUGGUCUGCAACUGACGCUGAGGCUCGAAAGCAUGGGUAGCGAACAGGAUUAGAUACCCUGGUAGUCCAUGCCGUAAACGAUGAGCGCUAGGUGUUGGGGACUUUCCGGUUCUCAGUGCCGCAGCAAACGCAUUAAGCGCCCCCGCCUUGGGAAUUACGACCCCCACCG